rnacentral:rRNA from 1 species
UACGUAGGGAGCAAGCGUUGUCCGGAAUCAUUGGGCGUAAAGCGUGCGCAGGCGGUUCGAGAAGUCAGCUGUGAAAGCCCCGGGCUUAACCUGGGAAUGGCGGUUGAAACUCUCGGACUAGAAUCUGGCAGAGGGGGGUGGAAUUCCACGUGUAGCAGUGAAAUGCGUAGAUAUCUGCAGGAACACCCGUGGCGAAGGCGGCUCGCUGGACCGCAACUGACGCUGAGGAACGAAAGCUAGGGGAGCAAACAGG